rnacentral:lncRNA from 1 species
GUGGUGAGCCGCUUCUGCCGUUUCUGCAGACUAUGGUCGCCAUUACAAGAUGGCGCUGGCUCAGCUGUGGUUUGUGACAAACAACUCCUUAUUUGGGAGAGUUGGCGCAUGGUUUUUCACCACCCUAUGAGAAAGCUCCACGUGGCAGCUUCGCAUUGGGGCUUGAGAUGCUUUAUUAAGGCUGGGAGGGGCAUCCAAGAGAGAG